GAUGAACGCUGGCGGCGUGCCUAAUACAUGCGAGUCGAGCGAACGGACGAGAAGCUUGCUUCUCUGAUGUUAGCGGCGGACGGGUGAGUAACACGUGGAUAACCUACCUAUAAGACUGGGAUAACUUCGGGAAACCGGAGCUAAUACCGGAUAAUAUUUUGAACCGCAUGGUUCAAAAGUGAAAGACGGUCUUGCUGUCACUUAUAGAUGGAUCCGCGCUGCAUUAGCUAGUUGGUAAGGUAACGGCUUACCAAGGCAACGAUGCAUAGCCGACCUGAGAGGGUGAUCGGCCACACUGGAACUGAGACACGGUCCAGACUCCUACGGGAGGCAGCAGUAGGGAAUCUUCCGCAAUGGGCGAAAGCCUGACGGAGCAACGCCGCGUGAGUGAUGAAGGUCUUCGGAUCGUAAAACUCUGUUAUUAGGGAAGAACAUAUGUGUAAGUAACUGUGCACAUCUUGACGGUACCUAAUCAGAAAGCCACGGCUAACUACGUGCCAGCAGCCGCGGUAAUACGUAGGUGGCAAGCGUUAUCCGGAAUUAUUGGGCGUAAAGCGCGCGUAGGCGGUUUUUUAAGUCUGAUGUGAAAGCCCACGGCUCAACCGUGGAGGGUCAUUGGAAACUGGAAAACUUGAGUGCAGAAGAGGAAAGUGGAAUUCCAUGUGUAGCGGUGAAAUGCGCAGAGAUAUGGAGGAACACCAGUGGCGAAGGCGACUUUCUGGUCUGUAACUGACGCUGAUGUGCGAAAGCGUGGGGAUCAAACAGGAUUAGAUACCCUGGUAGUCCACGCCGUAAACGAUGAGUGCUAAGUGUUAGGGGGUUUCCGCCCCUUAGUGCUGCAGCUAACGCAUUAAGCACUCCGCCUGGGGAGUACGACCGCAAGGUUGAAACUCAAAGGAAUUGACGGGGACCCGCACAAGCGGUGGAGCAUGUGGUUUAAUUCGAAGCAACGCGAAGAACCUUACCAAAUCUUGACAUCCUUUGACAACUCUAGAGAUAGAGCUUUCCCCUUCGGGGGACAAAGUGACAGGUGGUGCAUGGUUGUCGUCAGCUCGUGUCGUGAGAUGUUGGGUUAAGUCCCGCAACGAGCGCAACCCUUAAGCUUAGUUGCCAUCAUUAAGUUGGGCACUCUAAGUUGACUGCCGGUGACAAACCGGAGGAAGGUGGGGAUGACGUCAAAUCAUCAUGCCCCUUAUGAUUUGGGCUACACACGUGCUACAAUGGACAAUACAAAGGGCAGCGAAACCGCGAGGUCAAGCAAAUCCCAUAAAGUUGUUCUCAGUUCGGAUUGUAGUCUGCAACUCGACUACAUGAAGCUGGAAUCGCUAGUAAUCGUAGAUCAGCAUGCUACGGUGAAUACGUUCCCGAGUCU
rnacentral:rRNA from 1 species